CCUACGGGUGGCUGCAGUGGGGAAUAUUGCACAAUGGGGGGAACCCUGAUGCAGCGACGCCGCGUGAGUGAAGAAGUAUUUCGGUAUGUAAAGCUCUAUCAGCAGGAACGAGACAAGACGGUACCUGACUAAGAAGCCCCGGCUAACUACGUGCCAGCAGCCGCGGUAAUACGUAGGGGGCAAGCGUUAUCCGGAAUCACUGGGUGGAAAGGGAGCAUAGACGGCUGAGCAAGCCUGAAGUUAAAGGCGGGGGCCCAACCCCCCGACGUCCUGGGGAAAUGUACGGCUGGAGGGCAGGAGAGGUAAGUGGAAUUCCUAGGGGAGCGGUGAAAUGCGGAGAUAAUAGGAGGAAAACCAGUGGGGAAGGCGGCUUAAUGGGCUGUAACUGACGUUGAGGCUCGAAAGCGUGGGGAGCAAACAGGAUUAGAUACCCCGGUAGUC
rnacentral:rRNA from 1 species